GGUCUUUACCCUGUCGAGUUGCAAGCUACUGAUCUCUGGUGAGCCACAGCUGUGCAUGAGGACCAGCACAGACAUCUCUUCAUGAUCCCAUGGCAGCGGCUCGCCUUCCAUCCCAGGACCAGCAUUGGCUGCCUAGCCGGGAGGCUGCAGAAAUCUUCCUCAGCCCUGGUCCCAGAGGGAGCUUCAGAAGUCAGUGACUGGGUGGACAAUGGCACUUUUCUUUCCUCUUCCAAGAUGGAUCAGCUAUGGGGGCCUCUGCAAGAACUGUGAUGACAUCUUCAUUUGUGGUACCCCAUUCACGAGGAACUCAGAUGAAGUUUUACUCUGGAAGUCUGCAGUUCUCAAUAAACCCACCCCCUCCACGAGUCCAGUCCAGAUGGUACCUACAGGAGCACCCAGCACAACAGUGUCCAGGGACUAUGGCUUCUGCUCAGGUUCAACAGAAAGUGCCAUGCACCCCUGGGAGCCAUUCCCAGGGCAUCCUUAGAGAUUGAACCCAGGCCCAAGGGAAACUGUCAGCUGGCCUGAUUCUAAAUCUGUUAACGUGUUAUAAUUUGACUUGUUAUUAGUUUUAACUUUCUACCCUGUAAAAAGUCAGUGCUUCCCUUUUCCAACUUUUGAUUUUGAUAAAAUUUUUACUUACAAAUAAAUUACACAAAUUAUACAAUGAACUCCCAUAUAUCCCUCAAUUAGAAGCCAGAGCUACCAAGUGUUAGUGGUUAAACUCAUGUACUUGCUCCUUCUU